rnacentral:rRNA from 1 species
GAUGAACGCUGGCGGCGUGCCUAACACAUGCAAGUCGAACGGGCCAUGGGUAACUAUGGCUAGUGGCGGACGGGUGCGUAACACGUAGGUGACCUGCCCUGAAGUGGGGAAUAAUUCCGCGAAAGCGGGACUAAUACCGCAUAUGCUGACCGGUUCGCUCUGGUCAGUAAAGUCGCAAGACGCUUCAGGAUGGGCCUGCGGCGGAUUAGCUGGUUGGUGGGGUAACGGCCUACCAAGGCGAUGAUCCGUAGGGGGCGUGAGAGCGUGACCCCCCACAUUGGCACUGAGACACGGGCCAAACUCCUACGGGAGGCAGCAGUGAGGAAUAUUGCACAAUGGGCGACAGCCUGAUGCAGCAACGCCGCGUGAGGGACGAAGGCCUUCGGGUCGUAAACCUCUUUUCUGAGGGACGAGACAGGACGGUACCUCAGGAAUAAGUCUCGGCUAACUACGUGCCAGCAGCCGCGGUAAAACGUAGGAGGCGAGCGUUAUCCGGAUUUACUGGGCGUAAAGCGCACGCAGGCGGCGCCGUGAGUCGGACGUGAAAGCUCCUGGCUUAACUGGGAGAGGCCGUUCGAUACUGCGGGGCUUGAGGUUGGGAGAGGGGUGCGGAAUUCCUGGUGUAGAAGUGAAAUUCGUAGAUAUCAGGAGGAAUACCUGAGGCGAAGGCGCCUGCCUGGCUAUGCAUUGACGCNGAGGUGCGAAAGCGUGGGGAGCAAACAGGAUUAGAUACCCUGGUAGNCNACGCCAUAAACGAUGGAUACUAGGUGUUCGGAGCGUUAACCCUCUGAGUACCGAAGCUUACGCAUUAAGUAUCCCGCCUGGGGAGUACGGUCGCAAGGCUAAAACUCAAAGGAAUUGACGGGGGACCGCACAAGCGGUGGAGUAUGUGGUUCAAUUCGACGCAACGCGAAGAACCUUACCUGGGUUUGAAGUCUCUUGAUAACCUCAGAGAUGAGGCUUUCCCUUCGGGGACAAGAUGAUAGGUGCUGCAUGGCUGUCGUCAGCUCGUGUCGUAAGAUGUUGGGUUAAGUCCCGCAACGAGCGCAACCCCUGUUCCUAGUUACCAUCAUUAAGUUGGGGACUCUAGGAAGACUGCCGGUGUUAAACCGGAGGAAGGCGGGGAUGACGUCAAGUCCUCAUGGCCCUUAUGUCCAGGGCAACACACGUACUACAAUGGCAGAGACAAAGCGACGCAAAACCGCGAGGUGGAGCCAAUCGCAAAAACACUGUCCAAGUCCGGAUUGGAGUCUGCAACUCGACUCCAUGAAGCUGGAAUCGCUAGUAAUCGCAGAUCAGAACGCUGCGGUGAAUACGUUCCCGGGCCU